ANGCUUAACACAUGCAAGUCGAGCGGGGGAGGGUAGCUUGCUACCUGACCUAGCGGCGGACGGGUGAGUAAUGCUUAGGAAUCUGCCUAUUAGUGGGGGACAACAUCUCGAAAGGGAUAGCUAAUACCGCAUACGUCCUACGGGAGAAAGCAGGGGAUCUNUCGGACCUUGCGCUAAUAGAUAGAGCCUAAGUCGGAUUAGCUAGUUGGUGGGGUAAAGGCCUACCAAGGCGACGAUCUGUAGCGGGUCUGAGAGGAUGAUCCGCCACACUGGGACUGAGACACGGCCCAGACUCCUACGGGAGGCAGCAGUAGGGGAAUAUUGGGCAAUGGGGGGAACCCUGAUCCAGCCAUGCCGCGUAGUGUAGAAGAAGGCCUUAUGGUUGUAAAGUACUUUUCAGCGGGGGAGGAAGGUGUGAGGUUAAUAACCUUCAGCAAUUUGACGUUACCCGCAGAAGAAGCACCGGCUAACUCCGUGCCCAGCAAGCCCGCGGGUAUACGGAGGGUGCAGGCGUUAAAUCCGGGACAUUACUGGGCCGUAAAAGCGGCAA
rnacentral:rRNA from 1 species